rnacentral:rRNA from 1 species
AUUGAACGCUGGCGGCAUGCUUUACACAUGCAAGUCGAACGGUAACAGGUUAAGCUGACGAGUGGCGAACGGGUGAGUAAUGCAUCGGAACGUGCCCGGUCGUGGGGGAUAACGCAGCGAAAGCUGCGCUAAUACCGCAUACGAUCUAAGGAUGAAAGCGGGGGACCGUAAGGCCUCGCGCGAUCGGAGCGGCCGAUGUCAGAUUAGGUAGUUGGUGGGGUAAAGGCUCACCAAGCCAACGAUCUGUAGCUGGUCUGAGAGGACGACCAGCCACACUGGGACUGAGACACGGCCCAGACUCCUACGGGAGGCAGCAGUGGGGAAUUUUGGACAAUGGGCGAAAGCCUGAUCCAGCAAUGCCGCGUGCAGGAAGAAGGCCUUCGGGUUGUAAACUGCUUUUGUACGGAGCGAAAAGGUCUCCUCUAAUACAGGGGGCUCAUGACGGUACCGUAAGAAUAAGCACCGGCUAACUACGUGCCAGCCGCCGCUUAA